UACAGAGGUCUCAAGCGUUGUUCGGAUUCAUUGGGCGUAAAGGGCGCGUAGGCGGCUUGGCAAGUGGAAGGUGAAAUCCCUCGGCUUAACCGAGGAACUGCCCUCCAAACUGCUUUGCUUGAGGCCGGGAGAGGCGAGUGGAAUUCCCAGUGUAGCGGUGAAAUGCGUAGAUAUUGGGAGGAACACCAGUGGCGAAGGCGGCUCGCUGGACCGGUUCUGACGCUGAUGCGCGAAAGCGUGGGGAGCAAACGGG
rnacentral:rRNA from 1 species